rnacentral:tRNA from 1 species
GCCCCCUUAGCUCAGUUGGUAGAGCAACUGACUCUUAAUCAGUGGGUCGAAGGUUCGAGUCCUUCAGGGGGCA